AAUCAACUUCCUGGAGUCUGGACAGAAGUACGGUCUACUGAUCCAUCGACUAAUUAAGCUGUCCUUAACAUAGCUAGCUGCUAGUGAGAAUCAAUGGCAUCCGAGCUGGUGCUACUCAACCCAGCAACUGUGGAUGAUGCUCUGGCAUCUCCAGCUGGUGCUCAAGCCCGGGACACUCCGGCCGCUCAGCAGCCUCCACCCGCUCCUGCAGAUCCUUUGCGAGAGAGUCAUUCUCCCAAUGGCGAGGUUCACGGAAACCAGAUGCUUACCAGCUCCAAGAGCUACCCUCCGCACAAGAUUCAUGAUGCUCCCCGUAAAUUAAUGGCGUCUGUGGAGCUGUCUUAGCUUCCUUAGCUACAGGAGCAACCCUAGAGCACCAGAUUCAUGAACCCAGGCAUCCUUCGCAAAAGGGAAAGUCUUUGCAAAAACCACACAGCCUGUAAGAUCCUGAUAUGAUGGGCUAGAAUAAAGAUAUCGGCAGUUAUGUACUAUUGUUGUCAUAUUGAUUUUCCUAUCGACGCAACAUGUCAUGUAUAGUAUUGAUUUCGUAUACUUCUCCAA